rnacentral:rRNA from 1 species
UACGGAGGGUGCAAGCGUUAUCCGGAUUCACUGGGUUUAAAGGGUGCGUAGGUGGGCUGGUAAGUCAGUGGUGAAAUCUCCACGCUCAACGUGGAGGAGCCAUACGAGACUGCCAUGACUAGAGUCCGGUAGAGGAAUGUGGAAUUCCCGGUGUAGCGGUGAAAUGCGCAGAGAUCGGGAGGAACACCCGUAGCGAAGGCGGCAUUCUGGGCCGGUACUGACGCUGAGGAGCGAAAGCGUGGGGAGCAAACAGG